rnacentral:lncRNA from 1 species
AUAAAUAUAAUAAAGUGGAGUUAGACUUGGCUGAAUUCCAAGUUGACUUGUCCAAACCACAACAAGUCAGAUAGCUUAGCCAGAUUAUGAUUAAGAUAUAGAAAGCUAGGGCCCAACCAGAAGGUGCCACUGUAGCUUAGGAACAGUAGUCCUGUUUCUUAAUUCAGUUCCAUCCCAACGUGAUCUUUCCUAAUUUCUUAGUCCUUCCUUCCAUCUGGUUUCAUCCCAACUGCAAUUCCAAAACUCUUUUGUUCAUCUCCUUCUAUAAGAUUUGCCCAAUUUCUUUCACCGUUUCCUCUUUGCAACUACUCUAACUUCCUUACCUCCACGAACACCUUUGUCGAUCUCAAGUUCUCAACCAUCAUCGCAGAUGUAGCACCCCCAGCGAAAUUCCUACCUUGAAAUCUAACAAGCUCAGCUGUGCUUCCUCAGCGAUUUCAGCAGCUGCUCCUCCCAAGAAUCAUACUCUCAGAUUCGGCACCCUUCCUAGGUAGAAGGACAACGCGACUUCUUCCUUGCUAUUUCAGCUUCCCCCAUUGUGACAGUUCCCGAGUGCUCAUCCUUCUCUACGAGUCCAAGUUGUCUUCUUUGUCUGUUUUCUAGGUUGUUGGUCGGCCUCUCACUGCUCCUUGCUGUAUUUUGUGCUAUCCACCCAUUCAACCACAACUCCAAGUAAGUUCCUUGAUUUCAAAUCCCUCCCAAUUGAGAUGCCGACUUAGUCGCCAGUUCCUGUCGAGAAAGACGCCCUGAACUUGAUCCAUGGUGUGGAAAUCCAAUUCCUAUGAUCAAUUCAAGAUCCAAAAGCUCGGCCUUUCGCCCCUCUUGGUUGUGAUCGGUGUGAGGACAUUAGCCCAAAUUUCUCUUCUGCUCCUACGAGGCCAGAUCAAAUUUUUUGCAUAAGGGACCAUACAUCUGGCCAGACGCAGAGGUAAGAUUUCCUCCUCUCUCCAGUUAUUCAUACUUAGUUUUAUGAGGUUUUUCCAGAUUGCUGCCCCUUUCCUGUGAUGGGUUUUUUCGUCUAUUCUCUAUAUUUUAGUUUGCUGCCAUAAUAGGGUUCUGACCAGGUGAAAGCUUUUGAUUUGUUCUUUGGUGUUUACCAGUUUGAGGCUUUGACUACUAAUAAUCUCAAGUUCUGUUUUCAGUUUUUUGCCUUCAUCUUGGUCAUAUAUUCUAAUGAAGAUGAAUCAUAUAACCAACUUGGUGUAAUCAGUAAUGAUAAGCUUUAUCCCUAUAUUAAACAAUUUCUUGAAGACUAUAGAAUCUGAUUAUAUAUGUUUUUGAAGUUUGAAUGGUUUGAGUCAUGGCAUCAGGGUGAUGUAAUGUUUAGGAAGGGUAGGUCAUGAUCUUAUUCUCAUACAUCUAACACAAACCAAGUUGUUUAUUAAUCUGUCCCAAAGGAUAAUUGCAUUUGCUUCGUCAUAUGGUAGACGCUGGCUGCAUAUAUUCAUCUUUGUGUUGGCAAUUGUCCACGUCAGUUGCUGCAUCAUCACCUGUAUAACCAUAUUCUAUCAUUCAACUUUGGAUUGUACGUGUGAUAAUAAGAAGACUUAAUCAAUUCUGAAUAAUCUAUGCAAAUUAGGGGGAAUGAGAGGCUAUAAUUGUUGUCUGAUGCUUUUUUUCAAUUUUUGGUUGGCUCAAAUACAACCGGGUGUGUCUUUAGACCAGUUACCAAGGUUGGUUAUAGGACCCUAAGACAUGGAUUUCUGAUAAUAAAUAAAGGAAAAUGGAAGUUCCAGAAGUAUCUUAAGUUUUGAUCUUUAAUAAUAAGAAGUGGAAAUGUUUGUAUCAUGCAGAUUUGGAUACUAGAAGUAAGAAUAUAUUCAACUUCUAGAGAAACCUGAACAGAUCAUUUGAAAAUAAUUUCAAAAUGGUCUAGGGGUUAGAUUUGUGCUCUUUACUAUUUGUGGUUUUAUUUAUCUGCAGGUUCUAAGUUUUUAGUUGCUGUGCUCUUAUUGCUGGUGUGCUCUUAUUUUCAGAUAGGGCAUCACAAGGUAGCAAGAGAGGUGAGUUACCAUUGCUCUUAUUGUAAUGUAUGCUUAAAAUUGUAUUUUUGAAGUAAAUGAUUUUUGGGUGAGUUCCAGUCAAUUGGUUUGUUUGGUUAAAAUAAGUUGGGGUGUUCGUGUUUUUUGGGGAUCAAAUUUAACACUGCAGGAAAGAGUGUAUUCAGAGGUAUUGUAACUCUUUCAAUAUGUACUUACGUAUGUAUUUACCACAACUAUUAAUUAAGAGGAGAGUUGAUUGAUUAAUGAUUAAGCAGCAUGAUCAGAUUGAUAACCAGUAUGUGGCUCAUUCCCCUCCCCACCAAUUUAAAAGUUGUUUUACAAGUUUAUAUGCAAUGCACAUGUGGGCUGAUAUUUCAUCGCCAUUUUCUGUGUAAUAAUUAUAUUGUCCGAUGGAUAUUGUAUUCAAGUUGUUUGUACCCAAUUUUUAUGUUCUUUGUAUGGUAUUUUACAAUUACAUACAAUUAUUACGGGUGCACAAUAUCUAUUAAUAAUCGAAUUUGAAUUUCGCGACAUCGUGCGACCACCCAAACUAGUUCAUUUAUGAAAGGUGCUGCAGAUGGGCACCGGCGGAAAGCCUCUGCCUAGUCCUAUAAACAGUUUAAAAGAUGUGAUAUGUUUCUCUGGCAAACAAAUUUCUAACUGAGUACUGCUAUCCAACAUUUACAUUUCUUCUACGAUUUAAAUUCCAAUGAAACCAAAAUAAAAUAAUUAAAUUAAUACAACACUACAUA